rnacentral:lncRNA from 1 species
GUCAAGAUUAAGCGACAGUAAGGACAUUUAGGACACAGGGUGCAGGGCUGACAAUAAAUGGACAGACUAGGGAAACACAUGGGCUUAGACAGUUUAAAAGCAUUUCCUAAAGAAGAGUUCCAAAAACAAAGCACAAGAAUCUUCAGUAACAGCAGCAUCCCUGAAUAAGAAUAGAGCUCUCCAAAGUCAUUUCUGUAGAAGGCAAACACAUUAUGUUACCUUUGUCUCCUACAAACCCUGCACGUGCGCUGGACUGGACCUCUGCAGGCCAGGGAGGCUGUUUUCUCCUGCCAGAGAAACGGAGGAAAAGCAAGAAAACCAUGGUCCAGCUGGGUGAAGCACCCUGAGGCCUUCGACUUUGAUGCUUACUGUGAAAAAAGAAAGGAAGGGAGCCUCUGAAAAGAGAUCUUGCAAGACUUUUAAGCAAAUGUCCUCGGAUGCACUCUGCCUAAGCUCAGAAGACACCAAAAAGCACAGCGUCAUCGCAUCCUCCCGCAUCCUCAUCUCCCUCGCUCCCAGACCCAGCCAGGUUGUCCGUGGCCUUAAAUGCUGGUUCUCCCUAUUACUGGGCUGCUGCGUUGAAAGCAAAAAACAAACAGAAGUCCCAAAGUUCCACCGUGGUGGUUACCUCCUCCCCGCCGCAAGUAUUUACUCACUUAACCUUAAGUAUGUACUCACUUAA